rnacentral:misc_RNA from 1 species
ACACCCUCAAGCUCUGCUUGGUGUUGGGCGUCUGUCCCGCUUCGUGCGCGGACUCGCCCUAAAGGUAUUGGCAGCGGUCAUGCCAGCUUCUCGCGCAGCACAUUGCGCUUCUCGAGGCACCGGCGGAUCAGCGUCCAUCAAGCUCACUUCCACA